rnacentral:rRNA from 1 species
CCUACGGGAGGCAGCAGUGAGGAAUAUUGGUCAAUGGGCUUACGCCUGAACCAGCCAAGUCGCGUGAGGGAAGACUGCCCUAUGGGUUGUAAACCUCUUUUGUCAGGGAGCAACGCCGGCUACGUGUAGCCGGACUUAGCGUACAUGUAGAAAAAGCAUCGGCUAACCCCGUGCCAGCAGCAGCGGUAAUACGGGGGAUGCGAGCGUUAUCCGGAUUUAUUGGGUUUAACGGGUGCGUAGGCGGAAUGCCAAUGCAGCGGUAAAGUCGCGGGGCUCAACCUCGCUCCGCCGUUGAAACUGGCGUUCUUGAGUGGGCGAGAGGUAUGCGGAAUGCGUGGUGUAGCGGUGAAAUGCAUAGAUAUCACGCAGAACUCCGAUUGCGAAGGCAGCAUACCGGCGCCCAACUGACGCUGAAGCACGAAAGCGUGGGUAUCGAACAGGAUUAGAUACCCCUGUAGUC